rnacentral:rRNA from 1 species
AGUGAACGCUGGCGGUAGGCCUAACACAUGCAAGUCGAACGGCAGCACAGUAAGAGCUUGCUCUUACGGGUGGCGAGUGGCGGACGGGUGAGGAAUACAGCGGAAUCUACUUUUUCGUGGGGGAUAACGUAGGGAAACUUACGCUAAUACCGCAUACGACCUACGGGUGAAAGCAGGGGAUCUUCGGACCUUGCGCGAUUGAAUGAGCCGAUGUCGGAUUAGCUAGUUGGCGGGGUAAAGGCCCACCAAGGCGACGAUCCGUAGCUGGUCUGAGAGGAUGAUCAGCCACACUGGAACUGAGACACGGUCCAGACUCCUACGGGAGGCAGCAGUGGGGAAUAUUGGACAAUGGGCGCAAGCCUGAUCCAGCCAUACCGCGUGGGUGAAGAAGGCCUUCGGGUUGUAAAGCCCUUUUGUUGGGAAAGAAAAGCAGCAGGUUAAUACCCCGCUGUUCUGACGGUACCCAAAGAAUAAGCACCGGCUAACUUCGUA